CCUGAGAACGGAUGGUUCCUAGCAUGUAUCUUGCCCAUUUCGAUGGCGCUCCGCCAAGUGAUCGGAUUCUCGGCGCCGUUCGUCACGUUCAUGUAUAUCGGCUCCUGGGGUUUCUCGAUUCCGACUUUCCACGCCAUGGCGAUUAUGCCGUUGAUCGCGAUAUCGCAUGGAACUAUGUUGAAGAAGUACUUGUCGUUGCACAGCAUGGUCCUGAUCACGCCUUUGCCGGCUCCGAUCAUCAGACCGGUUGGCCCGUUCAAGUUCUCCACCCAGCCGGGCGCUGGUUCCUUCAAUGAUGCAAGCACUGAAAUUUGAGAACGUAUAUCAUUAAGGAGCCCACGCGAUGCUGCAACCACGUUCUGACAUUUCACGUCCGUUGAGUUUCAUAGCAAAAAAAACCGGGAAUCCAAAAGUAUCGAGGUCGAGAGGGUGAAAGGAGUUCUCCGAGGGAACGAUGCCUAAGGCUUGGCAGAUGGCAGUAUAAUACAGUUUUCAUUUUUCUUUAGAAAGUACGAGUACUGAAAUAUUUAUGGACAGUGGUUUGCCUCCUGCAGCAUCUAGGACCGGUUAAAAAGUGCCAGAUACACAAUCUGUUCGAGAGCAUCAAUCAUAAAACACAUUAGAAAGGACGGGCGCAUCUGUAAGACGGAACCAUAAGCCCAAAAAAGAGAAAUGAGGAUUCUUCUCGUGCUCAGUGCCUCGAUGAAACAGCGAUAAACCAAUGGUGGAAUUCGAAGCGUUAAAGGAGAGGAAGAUGGUUUACCUAUCGAAGGUCUAGCAACAGCUGCCGGCAGGCCGGAUCUUUGGACCAAAUCCUCGCUGAGCGCUUUGCUGAAGGCGUAAGUGUUCGGCUGGCCUUCCAGCAAUUUCGGCGUCAUCGAAACGAGCACGUCCUCGUUCAGAUUGUUCACGGUGUCUAUCAUGACUUCGGGCUGUACCGAUACUGGAUAGUUUCUUUCCUCGAGCACGGGUUCGUGGCAGUGGCAAUACGCCGUGGAAACGUGAACGAACGAAUCCAAGCUCGUCAUCUGUGGCAAAUAUUUUUAUUAACUUUUGUCGGUUGAUCGUGUUCGAAUUUCUCUUAGAUUUAGUAAAAGACCGUAUGCCUUACGGAAAGAACGGUUCUUUCUGCGAAAAAUGCACGACAGAAACGUGCUUAUUAUUCAAGUUGAAGCUAUUAAUCACGAAAUGCAAUAAAUACACGUCCUAUUAAAUGAAGAGAUGAAUAUGUACCUGCUUCGCGAGUUUAAGGACGUUCAUGGUGCCCUGGGUAUUUAUUCGCACAGCAUCCUUCAGCGUCAGGUCGAAUUUCACAUUUGCCGCCAUAUGAAAGACAACGCUGACUUCCUUAAUCAGUCGUUCCUUAUCGGCGGUCGAUAAUGCGAGACCGUCCAUUGUGGUGUCGCCAGGUACCAGGAUGAGUUUCUUCACCUUCUCCGGAGAUUUCUCUUUGAUCGACUUGAACGGUUCUUGCUGCAAUUGUAAUCCCAAUUUAUGAUUCGUUCGAUUAGGCUUUGAUAAAAUAAAAGUAUCAUGAUUUAAACAAUUAUUAUCGUAUAGCAAAUCUCUAUGAUUUAUUUCAUUAUAUUCUGAGUAGAGUAGAGUAGAGUAAAACCAUUGUAACUUCAAUAAUUAUUAAACUUUGAUGAUGUCAAAGUAUUAUAACUUUAUACAGCGAUUAUAUUACGGGAUCCCAUGAUUUAUUCAAUCAAACUUGGAUAAAGUAAAAGUACUGUAACUUCAACAAUUAUAUUAUGAGUUUUCAUGAUUCAUUCAAUUAGAAGUAUCGUAAUGUUAACAAUUAUUAUUACGUUAUCCGUUUCUAUGGCCGAUUGAGUAAUCAGACACAAAAUAAAGUAAACAUUCACUUGCAAAAUUGAAUAAAUUUGACUCGAAACAGUUGUACGAGCCUAGCCAAUACACGCAUUAUUUCACGUUGCAAACAAUAGCGAAAUGUUUAGCUUGUUUGCGCGAUGUAAAUUUGCAUAAACAGUGAACACAGAGUCCUGUUGAACAGAAUUGCGUCACCGGGGUAGAUCGUAUCGUUUUAUCCGGAAGCAAAUCAAGGAAAGAUUGUGGUAGGCGAAGGAAAACAAUUAUAGGAGAAUGUAGUAACGCGCUGGCACGCUUUAUAAAUAUCGAAUACUCGACUUAUUAAACCGUGGAAUACAAAUUAACAGGACUGCGGGACGAUUGAUGAAUCGCCCUGUGCAUCGGAGAUCCGGGGA